rnacentral:rRNA from 1 species
AGGAUUCCCCUAGUAACUGCGAGUGAAGCGGGAAAAGCUCAAAUUUAAAAUCUGGCGGUCUUCGAUCGUCCGAGUUGUAGUCUGGAGAAGCGUCUUCCGCGCUGGACCGUGUACAAGUCUCUUGGAACAGAGCGUCGUAGAGGGUGAGAAUCCCGUCUUUGACACGGACUACCAGUGCUUUGUGAUGCGCUCUCAAAGAGUCGAGUUGUUUGGGAAUGCAGCUCAAAAUGGGUGGUAAAUUCCAUCUAAAGCUAAAUAUUGGCGAGAGACCGAUAGCGAACAAGUACCGUGAGGGAAAGAUGAAAAGCACUUUGGAAAGAGAGUUAAACAGUACGUGAAAUUGCUGAAAGGGAAACGAUUGAAGUCAGUCGCGUCGUCUAGAACUCAACCUGGCCUCGGCUCGGUGCAUUUUCUAGUUGACGGGCCAGCAUCAGUUUUGACCGUUGGAAAAAGGUCCUUGGAAUGUGGCACCUUCGGGUGUGUUAUAGCCUUGGGUCGUAUACGACGGUUGGGACUGAGGACCGCAGCACGCCUUUAUGGCCGGGGUUCGCCCACGUACGUGCUUAGGAUGCUGGCGUAAUGGCUUUAAACGACCCGUCUUGAAACACGGACCAAGGAGUCUAACAUGCCUGCGAGUGUUUGGGUGGUAAACCCGAGCGCGCAACGAAAGUGAAAGUUGGGAUCCCUGUCGUGGGGAGCACCGACGCCCACACCAGACCUUCUGUGACGGAUGUGCGGUUGAGCAUGUAUGUUGGGACCCGAAAGAUGGUGAACUAUGCCUGAAUAGGGUGAAGCCAGAGGAAACUCUGGUGGAGGCUCGUAGCGAUUCUGACGUGCAAAUCGAUCGUCAAAUUUGGG